rnacentral:rRNA from 1 species
GAUGAACGCUGGCGGCGUGCCUAAUACAUGCAAGUCGAGCGAACAGACGAGGAGCUUGCUCCUCUGACGUUAGCGGCGGACGGGUGAGUAACACGUGGAUAACCUACCUAUAAGACUGGGAUAACUUCGGGAAACCGGAGCUAAUACCGGAUAAUAUAUUGAACCGCAUGGUUCAAUAGUGAAAGACGGUUUUGCUGUCACUUAUAGAUGGAUCCGCGCCGCAUUAGUUAGUUGGUAAGGUAAAGGCUUACCAAGGCAACGAUGCGUAGCCGACCUGAGAGGGUGAUCGGCUACACUGGAACUGAGACACGGUCCAGACUCCUACGGGAGGCAGCAGUAGGGAAUCUUCCGCAAUGGGCGAAAGCCUGACGGAGCAACGCCGCGUGAGUGAUGAAGGUCUUCGGAUCGUAAAACUCUGUUAUUAGGGAAGAACAAAUGUGUAAGUAACUAUGCACGUCUUGACGGUACCUAAUCAGAAAGCCACGGCUAACUACGUG